ACAAGUUGACAUGAUUUGAAAUAUAACUAAUGAUAGCUGUUACUGAACUGGCAAAAAGUGUGUAUAAGUUGUUUUUCCUCUAUAAAUGAGGUGCAAAGAUGUAGUCUUGAGCACUCCAGCUUUUAAGGCUGAGGCAGCUCUGUCUGCCAGGUGAUACUUGUGUAUCAACUCUGAGAUUUCUAUCAGCGUUUCACUCCCUCCUGUCAGCUUCUGCAAGGUUAGAUUAAUUGCUCAGGCUGUUAUCCCAGCAGACAAUUAAUUCUCCAGUGAACAAGUGCUUUGGUGUCUCAGGCUGCUGUUGGAGCUACCCAGGAGCAGGCCGCGCUGCUGGGAUGCGCUGCUAGGGAAGGCCAGCGUGGUGAGAGGGAAGUUCUAUGGCUGAGGUAGCACCAGCUGCUGGGAUGCGCUUUCAUUUCCGAAUAACUCCGGUGGCACCUCAUUCAGCCCCCACCCCGUAACCACCUCUGACUUACAGUUCACCGCAUCUGUCGCGGCUGCAGAGUAGCCCCGGGGGCAGCGGGGCGGCGGGUGGGCAAGGCGGGCUGAGUGGAGGCGCCGCCGGGGGGCGCUGGGGAGGAGGGCGGAGGCCGUCGGGGGGGCGAGGCGGGCGCGUGGCGCCUCGCGCUUCCCGCCCGGCGCCCUGGCUGGCCCCGGGGCAGGGAGGCAGCUGAGGCGGCGGGCGGGGGUCGCCGCGGCUCCCGCGGCCGGGCGGCUUGGAGAGGCGUGAGGGGGCUUGGAGCCGGCGGAGGUGCAAAGGCGGCUGCACCCCUCAGGCGGAGGCGCGAAGCGGCCGCUCCGAGCCCGGCGGUGCCGCCGGGAAUCUGAGCGCUCAGCGGCUCCGUGUGACACUGGCGGUGGCUUCUGUGGGUUUAUGCAGGCAGACCCUGAAACUUCCAUUCCAGGCGGUGCUUGUCCCCUGUUGACCAAAAGCACUCGGUCGGCUCCGUGGCUGCCGGCGGGCUCGAUAAGCGAGGGCUGUUACCCUCAGUGCCUCACGCAGCGCCGCUGGCUGGAAGCGCCCCAAGAUGGCACGGGAGGGAACCUGCUUCACUGGUACACUGGGGAGCAGAAACCACACCGUGUGCUUCGUACAGAAGAGCUUGCUCGGAGAGAAACUGAAAAAUAGACUUUGAACUUCGAGUAUGUCUUACUGGUGAGACCUUGGUGAAAUUACCCUGGGAUAAAUUUUUAGGCUCUUCAAGGAGUAGCCUGUGACCUGACAGAACUGGAACUUAUUACAAUGAGCAUGUAAUCAAGACCAUGGUCCCCCAACGCCAGUUCAGCCUCUGCUUGCCCCCUGGCCCAAUGCUGACUAAUGCCUUGCAAGAGGCCAUCUGGAUGCAGCUGCCAGCAUGCUCUCUCCAGGGACCAGUGCAGCUGAAAAAUGUAACGGGAGUCACAUCAAGUUUGUCUUUCUCCACCUGGGACAGUCUGACAGCAUUAUCCAGGGGAAGGGAGCCCAAAACCACAAUGGCUUUUAGAGUCCAUGCUUUAAAGAGGCAAAAUGCAGCUGAUGUAAAUCCGCCUGACUCCGUAGAAGCUGGAUCUAGUUUGCAGUGUCCUUCAGAAGCAAGUGGAUCGGCCUGUGUCACAUCGGCAGGAGACGUGACAUUCUACGUGGAGUGGUAGUGACGUGACAGCGUCUGAUUGCUCUGUUCUGCACUGCAGUGGCAAUGUUCUUCUGCAAUAGUUUCUGAGAGGAGAGCCAGAAAUCAAACUUGGAGUCUGUUGCUGCUAAUCAAAUCAUGACAGAAAGAGAAACCUACUGCAGGUACCAGACCUCCAUGAUUUCAAAAGUGAGGGCAGUGUGAGCAUCUGAGUCUGGUUCCCAUUUGUUUUGCUUGGAAUGUGUUGGGCUGUCUUGAAUGUCUUCCAUUGUUAUAUGGACGAUCAGGCCUCUUAGAAGUCUAUUUCUGUCAGUGCAGUGAGCAUCCUGCAGGAAGGGUGACAUAUCCUGAAGCAAUUUAACAAAGCAGCUUGCCAUUUCGUGCAGUAGAGGUUCUGUCAUGUGAUAUUACUCCACGCAGAGGGAAGUCAGAGCAGCCCUGCAUGCUGCUUUACACCACUGGAUGAUACCACAACAUGAACAUAUCUUGCUGUUCCAUUAUUCUUGCUGCUCUCCCGAGUUUUCCCAGCUUCUCCACUGGCAGGAAUUCAGUGGCAGAGAGCGAGGCCUCCCUCGGUGAACCAUCAGAGACCAGGCUCUUUCUUUUCCUGGUGCCCGCGGACGUGCCAGCAGCCAGCCGGCAGCACCUGGUCAAGCAGGGAAGGAAAUGGACAGGGAAGGAAAUGGACAGGGAAGGAUAUGGACAGGAAAAUCCUGCACCACAGCACAGGGAGAAGCAGAAAUUUUAACCAUCUAUCUUCCCAUGGCAUCUGACUUUUUUUGAGGAGGAGAUAUAUUUGCAGUCCUGCUGGCCGGUAUUCGCUGGGGCUUGGCAUUACCUCUGAGGAGAAACGUAAAGCCAGAAUGCACCCAAGAGAAGAAGCAGAGAGGUCCACGAUGGGGAAAAUGAGUCCAGCAGCCUGUCCUGUCCUGUACAUGCUUGAGUAUAGGAGGGGACCUCAUACAAAGCCAGAAUGCGUCUGGGCUUGCAGCUCUUGUUAGCCAUAUGGAGUCCUAUUCAGAGCUAAUGAUGAGCUCAGUGAGGCUGGCCUAAGCAAUGCUGAAGAAGGGAAGCACAGAGCUGGAAGGCAGGAGCUAUUUCAAAGCAGGAUUCUUCUUCUUUCUGUAACGCCCAAACACGGAGACUUUAAAAACUUCAUUAGGUAGAGUAUUGAUAGUGGUGUAAUAUCAGUAAUAUCGCAUGAUGUAAUAUUGCACUUCUUUAUUGUUCAGUGAUCAGAUGGAGAUGCAUUAAAUAAAUGAACAUAUACUAGUGGCUUAAGUUAAGGUUAUGAGUGAGAGCAGUAAACUGAGAAGGUGAGUACUAGAGAAAAUGUUACUAGCUUUUUUUAAGCGUCUUUUCUUUCGUCGGCUCUUUCCAUAACCCGUAGUUCUUUUGUCUUGAGAAAGAGGGAAUGAAGACAAAUACCUUUUCAUCCAAGAAACUGAAGCUAGUUCAACUUCUUAACAGAAAGACUUCACAGUCCUCUUAGCUGUUAGAGCAUCUCACUGCUUUGUCCAGCAGAAAAUAGCACUCCUCGUGCUGACCCAUGAACCCUCCGGACACAUCUGUGGUGCCGCAGCAUGUGCUGCUCUUUCUUCUCAGGGCUUCCCUUGUCAGGGAGCGGUUGCAAAAUGUCUGCUGUGGCGCAGCCCUCCGUGACCUCUUGCAUCCGAGGACGGAAUUUGCGAGUCUUUUUUUCUGUGCGGAACUUGUGGGAGCUCCCUCCUGAGCCUAAUGGUUCUCAAAUAUUGCAAGAAAAGAUCUGACAGUGUUGUCUGGGAGAUGUGACUGACUUAAUUAUUAUUAACGUUUAUUAAGUGCCUUACAAUGGAGGGGAAGAGUCCUUGCCUGCGUUUUUACAAAUAGGAGAACUGGCAUGUAGGAAAAAUGGAUCUCUUCCAUCUUCUGUGAUUCUUGACCCACCUAAUUAGGUGAUUGUCACGAGAAAUAACAACCUGGCUCAGGGGAAUGGCACUGGGGGAAGAUGCCGACGCGUUCAGUACGGCACACCGCUUCCCCCUCCCGCGAUGGCUUAAUGUGGUAAGCAGGGUCUUCCCUCUGUGAGUGUCGGUUGGCCAGGGAGGAGAUUUAAAAGGGCUGAUGAGCCCGAGGCUGUCUCUCUGUCGGAUAGCUUCAUUAUAGAUCUCAUCCAGGGAAAAAGUGAGGUACUGCAACUCAUUUCUAGGAGCUGCUCUACCCUCUGCCUCCUCCCGCUUCCUUUCACAAUAGUGGCCUUUCCCCAGGAUAAGCUGAUUCACCUCACGGCUGGUAUUUGCAGUUUUCCUGCAUGCACUUAGCCUCUGAGGCAGUAACUGUUUCUUCAGGGCUAAGACUUCAGUUUCUGUUUUUUAAUAGUUUAUUUUGCUAAGGAAGAGAAUUUGUCCAGCUGCUACAAACAAUAGUGGUUUUGAUGUGUAUCAAUAAAGAGUUAGAGGUGUGUGUUCUCCAUGCAGAAGAUAAAGAGACUUAAAGGCUGCUUUAAAAAGGAAGGCAAACCUUGGAGUGGUUUACUUGGAUGUACAAUACGCCCUAUUCUUUCACUUUUAAAAACAGUAUUAAGGGAUUUUUAAAUUUUUUUUUUUUUGCAAGAGAGGAGAAAAUAAUUUCAUCUUUUUGAUUGCAUUUUUUUUCUUAGUCUCACAGUUGUGAGAUAAAUAUUCAGAAAUACGAGUUGGUAAGGUUAAUGUGAUUAAAAUGAAUAUGUGAUAACGGGCUUUGCACAUUAAAGAUUAAGAGCUCAAAUUACAGACUCCAGAGUGAAACACUCCACGAGCAUUUUGCAGAUUUUGUUUGUGCAAGGAAUGCAGGCUUAGGCCCAUGGUUGCAGUUGCACAACAAUUUCAGCCUGGCUGCUGCUUUUUUGUCUUGGCUGAUCUGCACAGAAGUCUCUCGAACACUGUAGCGUCAGGCUGGAAAUGCAGUCUGGGGUGAGGUGGGGGGACAAAUGAGGAAAUAAUUUCGGUGCAAGCAUUAGCGUUGCUCUAUAAAAAUAGAUUAGUUUUACACAAAUUAUUCCCAUUGACAAAGAUCAGUUUAUAGCAUUUUGACUGCACAGUAGUUAAUUCUUUAUGUAUAAAUUGAUCCUUUAUACAAAUGUAAUUCCAUAUACAACAGUUAAUUUCUUUGAGUACAAGAUGAAAAUAUAUUAUCGGUUAAUUUAUGUAGGUUAUGACUUUCUUUCCCCUGUACUCUGCCGUGGUUACCUACACUAAAGUUGACUCGGGGUGUGCUUAAUGAAAAUUAGAUGUGAAAUGUAAUAUGUAGAGGACAAAGAAGCAUUGAAAUCCUUAUUGCUCUUAAAAAGACAAAGGUACCUCAGACAAUUCUCCUUUCUUAAUCUCUUGAGAAUUUGAUGCGUAAUUCUGUUAUGAGCAAUUUGGAGUGAAUGAAAUUGAAGUAUUUUUAGAAAUAGUAUUAGUACCAGGUAUUAUUGCUCACCUUUUGCGAAGCCUGGUGCAUUUGUUCGGUUUUUUUAAACGCUUUGCGUUUUGAGAGGCUGAUUUAUAGACAAUCUUCUAUUGAGAAAGAAAGGUGUCUUGGACUUCCGUGGAGAGACAAGCCUGGCUAUUAAUAUCUGUGAAAUUUGCUAAUGUUGCAACCAUUUAAAUAAAGUGUUUGUUUAUAUAACAGCAGUGGCAUUUCUCCUCCUCUUCCUUGCGGUUUUGUCCAACUAGAUGUUAUGAGUGGCAGUUGCAGUGACUGCUAAGUGUUUAAAUGAUGACACCAUUAUGUGAAGUGAUUUUGAAAUGAGAGAUUCCAGCCAAGAAUUACAUCUGCUCUCAUCUCCUUCAAAUCAUACUCUCUGGCUGUGCAGAUUAUGAUUGAUUUGUUUGUGACAGAUUGCAGGAAACAGUCAUUGAUUUUUCAAUAUUUUACCUUAAAAUUAUUUACAGUUGUAACCAAGGGGAGGUAUUUCCAUGGGCUGUCAGCCCCUGAAAGACUGGGAUAAUAUUCCCUGCUCCCUGACAAGACAAAUUACCCGUAAUGAGUGCAGUAGCUGAAGGGUAUACUUUUAUUUUAAAAUAUGUCAAUAACCCCAGUGACUAAACGAAUAUUGAUUCAGCAUAAUGAAGCCUGAGUAAUGUGAAAAUGAGCUCUUCAAGGAGCAUGGUAAAGACUUUCUUUUUAGCUUGUAGCAAGAAGCUUUUCAUUCUUUACUGUUAGGUAGUUGAAACGUGCAGUCUUAAACAAGCCAUCCUUAAACAGUAGUAAUAUGCAGAAUAAUGUAACAAAAGAACUCAGGGGGGUGUUUUUCUCUUUGUUUUGUGGGGGUUUUUUGUGUGUUUUUCUUUCCCAAGUUAUCUAUCUUCGAUGCAUUUCAGCAGAUCAGAUGUUUAAAGGGAAAAAUGCAAGUUAUCCAGGGCAGAGAUAGAAUUACUGUUGGAGUUUGUGUCUCUUGCAAUAUUCUUCAGCCAGCCUAAUGGCAUUUUGAAAGUGGAUUCUGCAUAUAUGGGUAUGGAAAUGCAUCUAAAUAAACUGUAGAUUUAAUUUCAUGUUAUUGACUUCUUGGACAUACCGGUGUGUGUUCUAUGUGAUCAGUCUAAUAUUCUUGUCCUCUAAGAAUUUAGAAUAGCUGGUGUAUGAGGAGCUAGAUAUACUGUGUUAUAAAAGUUGUUACCAUACUGCACAUUUUUCUUUCCAGCGCCUUGUAACACUACAUGUUUCUUACCAAAUGAGAAUUUUCAAGCAGUAAUUCAUUUAAAUUACAGUAAUUUAUGCAGUGCCAUAGGUGUGGUGUGGAAAAACAUCUAAUAGAUUAAUAUGGAUGUACUUCAAUUGUUCAGGCUAAGGAUUAGAUUAAAGACCACGUUGAGGUACAAUUUUUUUAACAUUAAAAAUAUUGAAUGCUAAAAAACCCCCUAUCAUCUGAAAGGAUCAAUUUAUCAUUUGUAUUCCAGAGUGUUGUGCAACAUUGGGAAGGCUCUGCAGAAGCACUGGGUAUAAAUAGCCGUGUAAUCCAGACAUACACAAAAAGAUCUUUUCUUGAGGUGUUUGUGUAUAAUGUGUCAAUUAUGAAAUAAUGUCAUAGCCAGAAGCAUUUAGUGAGCAUGUUUGGGCACGAAGGCGACUUUCCUCAAUUUCUGAAGGACUGACUUCAAUUGCAUCCAACUAGCUUGUGAAAAAUCUUCAGAAGGAUGUUUUGCUAUCAGCACACAGGUGAUUUUUUUCCAAAUGUCAUUCCUUUAGCACAGCUAGAAAGUAUUUCACGAGGCACUUGAGAACCUGUGGCACUGAGAAUUAAAUGGCAACCCUGGAAUGUGAGAUAUGUUCCUGUUUUUAUUUUGUUAAUUUUCAGAAAAAUGUGAUGUGAGGAACAUUUGAGCAAGUUACAACUGUAAAUGUGGUUUUGAGAGGGUUUCUGCACAACACCUGGGAUUUGCAAAAUAUUGGAGGAUUGUUAGCGGGGAGAGAGUGAUAACCUCAAAUGUAUAGCGGUGACAACAGGAGGAUUUGGGGUUCUUGUUAAAUGUUACCAGUUAACCUUACUUUCCUGCUCAGUGGUCUUUUACACAUCCCAAGUUCUCUGCCUGUGCUUUCUGUACCUUUUUGUGUCUUUGACCAACAGCAGGAGGUGGGAAGGGAAGGUCUUCUUUCGUCAGCUUUCGCACAGCAGCGAGGAAGGAGACUUUUCAGAGCUGUGUGCCAGUUCUGAUGCAGACUGAAGGGCAAAUAAAUGUUUGGUUUAACUACAUCUCCUUUUCCUGAAUCAUACUGCAUGGGCUCAGUGGUACUAAACUGAACAAAAGCAGAUACUGCUGGAGAUGCUGCUGACAGCUACACCAAAGCGGGCUCUGCUUGCGAGCUGUUGGCUCGUUUCACUUGCAAGACGGGUAACAUCUCUCACUUUGCUGCCUUUUGCAAAGACGAGCAUGCUUAUUAAAUACGUGCCUGCCUCGCAUUCUAGUUCAGGCCUGAGCUGUGUGCUUGGCACUAAUGGCAAAUGGUACGUUCUCAGCUGCAGGAAGCUGGCAAACGGCUUGCAAGCUUUCUGGGCGAUACCAGAGAUUUCUGGUGGUGGUACCUUGGAAGCUCUUAAGUCUAUUCACACAUCUCUUUUUAGUUCUAGAACUGCUGCAGUUGCUAGUCCACUUUCAAGUGACUAUGGAGGAGGAAAAAAAACCCCAACAGCCAAGCCCAAACAAACAUCAAUCCCAAAUCAUUAAUCAGUUAAAAGUUCUUGUGGCAUUUGGGAUCUUGUAGGAGAAGAACCUAAACCCAACUGCUGUUCAGUUAGGUACAAGUAAAAGCAGAAAACACAGAAAUGAGGGUCACAGGUAAAAGCAGAGUAAUUUCCUUUGUGGCAGAGAGGAGGCUGUUGGUAAAUCAUGAAGGGCUGCUGUUUAGGGGUUGUAUGUCCCUUCAUGGUUUGGGACGUGCAGGUUUUGACCCAUUUCAGUUCAUUUCAGGCCUGACAUGAAGACAGUGUCUCAGGAUGUUCCUGUAGUGGGAAGGUGGUGCAGCGUUAAUGGUGUGGGCAUUUUUGUGUAACAGUUCGUAUCUCUAUACCUAUUUAUUUGUCAGAUUCCACUACAAAUAAGGUGGCAACCAAAACCAAUUGUUAAUGCCUCACCCCACUCCCAACCUAAUCUGCCUCUGUGUUCUCUGCUGUACAGAUAAAUUAUGAACUUGUUAGAGCUGAUUGAAGGGGUGUGGGAGGGGGAAGGGCAUUUAAAUGUGGUGUUGGAAAUGAUGCUUAGUGGCUAAGCCUUCCCCCCUCAAUUUGUUUGUUUGAAAUUUAAGAACUAAUGUGUGAUGGAGCCUGAAUCAAAGCAGUCUGGAAGUGGGCAGACAGCACUACGAGGAAUUUGCUAAUCUAAAUGUCAUGGUUAGCUGAAACCAGUUUUUUGUGCCCUAAACUACACAUGUUGAAGUUGUUGUUUCUUUUUAAUUUUUGUAUUACUGUCAAAAGCAAUUCCACAUAUGCAGAGUACUUACGUUUUCAUGGAAUGACCAUAUGAUGUACUAAAAGCUUUCACUAACUUGAGUGCUGAUAGUGUUGCAGAGUAUUUGGUAUGAUGGCAUUUGGUUUUUGAUGAACUGUUGGAGCGAUAUAACCCUAAAAAAAUACGAGGAGGAUCCAAGAUGCUUUGAGAACCUUGCUGAACUGUGAUGGUUAAAAAGGCAUGGCUGACUUAAUGCAGGAGAGUUGAAAUCUGUGUCUGGAAUUGUGGAGACAAGUUGAGAAAUAUGAACUGAAUUGAUUGUUGAUUAUUUUCCUUUGUAAAUGCUGGGAAGACACAUAUUUCGCUUUACUGUGGCCUUUAAGGAGGUCCACAGUGUCCUUUUUUUGUUUUGUUUUGUUAACUUAUCUUUUAAUAUGAAGUGUCAUUCCCAAAAUGAAGUAAUGUCCUUGGGCUUGUGGCAACAGCUGGAGUUGCAGGAUUCAUAAAUAAUUCAGAGGGGGAUAAAGGGUAGGGGAUUUUUUUUUUUUUUUGUUCAUUUGAAUCUUUAUUAUGUGCACACAUUUCACUUUAGAUAUGGCAUCAUUUGAAUUCAUUCGGUAUGAUGAUUGCACUGACCUGUCAUAUUUAUUUUGAUGUCUCUUUGAAGGACCAUAUGCUCUGUCCUCGGCAUGAAAAAGGAUGCGAGUUGCUACCCAAAAAGGCAGCUACAUUCCUGUAGGGCCGAAGACCCUUGCUGCCCAUUGUCAUGUCAGUAGAUGUACAGCUGCAGCGCAGUAGAAGAAAGUGUAGCCGUUACGUCAGUGCAGUGACUAAAUGGCAGCGAAGGCUAGCGAAAGGUGGAAGAAAGGGCAAAACCCGUCUGCAUCGAGGUGUUGUGUGGCAUUAAAAACUCAGCUGUCACCGAGGGCCAGUUGGUGUGGGGAACCUGGCACGUGGAAGAUGGAAAAGAUGAAAGCCAGCUAGAAAUCUGCCAGGGUGGAGGUGUGCCACGGUAGCUUUAGUGUGGGAAUACGAUUACUUACUUUGUGUGUUGGAAGUGGGGUUGCCAUGCACACAGCCUUCCAGGGAUGCACGGGAGUUUGUCUGGCUAUGCAAGGCUCGGGUCUGUUACCAGUCCAUGCCUUCUUUUCCUCUUAAAGAAGCUGCUUGCUUAGCCAAACAAAAUCUUGGAGAACGGGCUUUGGGAAAACAUGGAGUUGUCAUUUUCCUCUUUGCUAAUUCUGUUGCAGCUAUUGCAUCUGCUCCUUCACUUACGUUGGUGGCAUGUUUCUGUGGACAAGCGGUAUGUUUUCCAGAAGUUACUGGUAAGAUUUUACCAGUUUCCAGUUCAACCGUGUCCCAUAAGUAAUGAACUGCAUAGUAAUGAGUAACAUCUGAUUCCUACUGGCUGAUGCCCUGACUGGGAUUAGCAAUUUGUGGUUGGUGGAGUACAGGACCUUGUUAAUGUUACCUUUGUAUGCACUACCAACGUGACAGGAUGCAACCACUACAGUAAUUUCAUGUAAGGUGUAAUUGCAGCGGUGGGUGGUGAUUUGUAUGAAGUGGAUGGUCCAUUGUGCUCAUGCCAGUGGCAGAAGGAGGCCAAUUAAGUGCAGGUUAGUGAAAUACAGUAACUAGAAGCUGUGAAUGCGAAUGAUAACUGUAUGCAAAAUUGUUUCUUUUCUAGAUCCUGCCCUCAACGACUGAGCCUCCCUGAAAUCUUACCAGUUACUGCUGAGAUGAGGAGGAUAACAGGAAGGAGGAGUGCUUAAGUGGUUUUAAUGACAGUUAAUUUCAUCUGUUUAUCAAAUGACAAGUUGUUUUUUCCUCAAAACUCGAUUGUCAUGACAAGAUGCUUUUGAAAGUCAUCUCUGUAAAAUAAAACUGACAAUUUUUAGGCUACAAAGAGCUCUUGUAUCUUUCUAUACAAUGUUGUCAUUAUGGUAAACCGCCGGAAAGUCUUUAUUUUUGAAGUAAUUUAACUUGCAUACUUCAUUCAUUUAUUUGAAUGUCUGUUAAACGCCAUGUGAAAAGUUUCUUGCCAGAGUUCUUUUAUUCAAUGGAGUAGUUAUUCUUACCAUGCUCAAUUUAUUAUUGUCUAAAUUACUGUUGUCUUAGCCUCCUGCAAAAACGUUUCUUUUUAGUAAUUCUUAAACAAAUAUGGAAUGAAUGUGGUUUUGUCCCCUUCAUGUUUUGAUCGGCGUAUUUUUCCUUUCAGUGAAAGCGUCUUUAGUUUUCAGAAUGACACCAUUACAAAGAAAAGUGCUUUGCUUUUUUUCUUGCCUUUUUUUUUUUUUUCCCAACAGAAAAUUUCUUUUGUGCAAUGAUUUUUUUAAUAUGUACACUGCCAAGACACAAUUACUGGAAGGAGAGACAGAAGCUGUUGGGAAUGUCAUGUUAUGCCAAAUUGAGAAUCAUUAGCUCUUACUUUCUCUGCGAUCUCUUCGACUAGAACUCGACCUAUUGCGUCUGGCUUAUACUUUGACUCUAGUGGAACUAAUGUGUCCUUGGAGUAGCAUUUUAGAGUAACUUCAGAUUCAUGGGGGUUUUUUCACAAGUCUGCUUUAAACUGCUGGGAUUAACUUCAGAGAAGGCAAGAGAUGCAGCCUCCUUUGUCAGCAGCUGUGCUGGUUAAAGGAGGCUUCCUGCACGCUUGCUUGCUCGCUCUCCCAGAGGUUAUUGCCCCUGCUAGGGAAGCAAACUGAACUGUUUCCAUGAGCACACCCAGACUUACUUCAGCUGAAGUUAAUCGUGUUAUCAAAUAUUAGUUAACUAGCACCCUGGGUCAUUUGGAUGAAAGGGUGGGGAAUGCCCAGCCCAGCCACACAGCCGGUGUAUCUGGGAGGGGGGUGUUGACCAGAGGGUCGCUGAGGAGCUGGUUGUGGUGCAGUCUUCUCAGCAGGUGCAGUCACAGCUCUAGGAUGUGGUAAACAUUGGGUGUGUAGUUCAGUCAUGUAUAAUUUUCACAUUUCAGGGACAUACUGGAUACUAUAAAUUAAGCCCGUGCUCUUUGACUUACUCCUUGUGUGUGCCGGUGUGUGUGGAGAGAGAUGAUCUGAGUGUGUGUACGUGAGACAGGACACCUACUUUGGGAAAAUGCAUCUGGUCAAGGCGCAGGAAUGGUACAAGUGUUUCCAGUACCUAGAGGACACACUGUUAAUGCUUUACCUGUCGAGGAGGCUGCCUCAACCAACGCGUGCUCCAGCAGAACUGUUUUUGACACGUGGUGAGCUGCCUUUAGUGAAGCGGGGAGAACACCUCCAGCAGGAGAGACCACCCCAUCCCCCACUGCUUCUCUGUCCAAUACUGCAUCUGUAGAUGCUGGAGUCUGCUGAGGCAUCCAAGCUCUGCUGUUUCCCGUGCCACAAUUAAAACCGAAUGGGUGAUCUCUAGUACUGGAAGGCAUACUGAGUAAAACCAGUGCACUAAACGGCUCCCUCAGCACUGACCCUUCUUGCAAGAAGGCCGUGGAGUGUGGGUGCCAUCCCGCAGAUGGCUUGGGCGUACAAAGAACAAGAGACUCUCUGAUCCCUCAGAAACCUGAGAGCAGCAGCGCUACUUGUGUCUUCUCUCGUGGCACUGCUGGAUGAAAAGAACUCGGGUCAGUCGCAGAAAGGGCUGAACCUCCAGGUCGGCUGGAUCCAAUGUCUUUUAACUGGCCCUGUGCUGAAGGAUGAACAAGUAUGCGCUCGCUUCUCGUAUGGGCCAUCUGUAAGGGUGGAAAAUAAGGUACUGUGUCUGGAAAGGAGCUGGUGUGUAAGGGGAAGGUGCUGCUUUGCAGGCAAGGAACCCCCUGCCCGGCUGGUUCAUCCUCAGCAGCGCUGCCGUACGGCAGUGCCGUCAGACCGGAGCCUGCGCCUGCUCUUCCCCCAGCUGUCCAUCUGAAAAACAGCGGUAUGAAGAGACGAGGCUUGGUGUGUCUUGGGACUAAGGCUUCCAAAGAGUUUGGGGAAUGUGUGCCAACUUAGAAGUCACUAAUAUUUUAAAAUGACACAUAAAAAAGCAGGUAUGAUGUGACAGGCUGAAACCUAUUGCUUUUCUGCCAGGGCCUGUUACCUUGGCUGUGUACUGCUGUAUGUGGAGAAAACGCUGGACGUUGCGGUCAAACUCCUUGUUGGCCGCUGCUUGCAGCGUGGUGUGUGCACAGCACAAGGAGGCAAAGCGCCAGCCGUGUGGUUUCCAUACCCUCAGCUCGCCCCUGCUCCCGUUCCUGCGGGAAGGUGGCCUGGCUCCGGGUGCUGGAGCUGUGCCCUGUGCCGGCAGCCCAGGGUGAAGCUGCGGCGGAGCACUCGGUGCCUGCGCUGGGUUCAGAAGUGAUGGGCCUUCUCCAAAGCACUUUCAGAUGUCUCUCCUGACUGUGAACCGAGGGGAAAUAAGCCUCCGCAGCUCUUUGAGAGAGCCCAUAAUUUAUAGAAACCUUUUAUCUUAAUAUGGGCUAUUGUAGUACCAAUGUUAAAAUAGUUAAUGAAAUGCUUGUGAUUGCCUAAUCAUCUUCUUGCCCGCUUAAGUGGUAAGACAUGGUUACACUGGUAUUGCAAAAUAACUUAUGUAGAGCGCUGUCAUGGAUAUGUUAGGCCAAUGAGUAAUUGUAGGCCAAUGAGUAAUGUUAGGCCAUUUUACGUCGAAGCACUUAAAAUGAUCAAAUACUAUAGUUACGGCUGUCCUACUGUUUAUGUAGCACUAAAAGGAAAGCAAAAUACAGUUUCAGAGCAGACAGACUUUUUUCUUACAAAUACUCCAAAUAAUAGGUUUGUUUCAACUAGACUUCCUGGCUCUUCGGUGAUUGCUGCGUUCAGUAGGAAUCUGUCGGGAUCCCACGCGUAAUCAUGUGUUUAUUAUUAUAAACACAUGAUUUCUAUGUCUGUUCUCCACAAAUAUGUUGGACAAAACAUAGUUUACCUUCUGAACUGGUACUAUACGGUUACUUCCUAACUCCUUUAACUUCAUUUCAAACUUGCUUGAAUAAAAUGUGCAUUCCUGAAAAUAA